rfam:Myotis davidii contig128365, whole genome shotgun sequence.
GGCAGUUCUCAGGUGACAUACUCCGGAAUAGGGCUCCCUUCUCUGCGGUUCCAGGUGUGUCACCCAAGAACCACA